CGCAAGGCCGAAACUUAAAGGAAUUGACGGAAGGCACCACCAGGAGUGGAAUCUGCGGCUUAAUUUGACUCAACGCGGGAAAACUCACCAGGUCAGGACACGGUAAGGAUUGACGGACUGAAGGCUCUUUCUCGAUUCCGUGGAAAGUGGUGCAUGGCCGUUUUGGUUGGUGGAUCGAUCCGUCUGGUUAAUUCCGUUAACGAACGAGACCUCGGCACUCCGAAUAGCGCGGCGGACGUCGCGGCCUCCGGGCCGUCUUCCGCACGAGCUUCUUAGAGGGACCGUCCCCCGCCGGGGAAGGAGGUGCGAGGCAACGACAGGUCUGUGAUGCCCUUAGAUGUUCUGGGCCGCACGCGCAUUACACUGACGCGUCCAACGGGUGACUCCCGACCCGAAGGGGCCGGGGAAUCCGCAAGGCGCGUCGUGAUGGGGAUUGAACGUUGCAAUUGUUGUUCACGAACGAGGAAUUCCUAGUAGGCGCGGGUCAUCAACCCCGCGCCGAUUACGUCCCUGCCCUUUGUACACACCG
rnacentral:rRNA from 1 species